rnacentral:rRNA from 1 species
UGGCCAGGUAGUUAAGGGCUACCGGGGAAUGCCUAGGCACUGCGAGGCGAAGAAGGACGUAAUAAGCUGCGAUAAGCUACGGUUAGCUGCAAAUAAGUGCUUGACCCGUAGAUUUCCGAAUGGGGGAACCCACAUAGGGUAAUGCCUAUGUAUCUAUUACUGAGUAAAUUAGGUAAUAGAAGCGACACCAAGGGAAUUGAACCAUCUUAGUACCUUGAGGAGUAGAAAUCAAAAGAGAUUCCGGAAGUAGUGGCGAAUGAAACCGGAAAAGCCCAAACCGAGUAAGCAUGCUUAUUCGGGGUUGUAGGACUCUUAUAAUCGAUUAAACGAGUAUAGUGGAACUUGCUGGGAAGUAAGACCGAAGAGGGUGAAAGUCCCGUACACGAAAUAUGAGUUUACGAGAGAGUAUCCUGAGUACGGCGGGACACGAGAAAUCCCGUUGGAAUCCGGGUGGACCACCAUCCAAGGCUAAAUACUACGCAGUGACCGAUAGUGAAUAAGUACCGUGAGGGAAAGGCGAAAAGAACCCCGGGAGGGGAGUGAAAUAGAACCUGAAACCGGUAGCCUACAAGCCGUAGGAGCACCAUUAAGGUGUGACUUCGUGCCUUUUGCAUAAUGAGCCGGCGAGUUAUUGUAUGUUGCAAGAUUAAGUGAUUGAAGUCACGGAGUCGAAGGGAAACCGAGUAUGAAUAGUGCGUAUAAGUAGCAUAUAAUAGACCCGAAGCCAAGUGAGCUAUCCAUGACCAGGUUGAAGCACAGGUAAAACUUUGUGGAGGACCGAACACACGUGUGUUGAAAAAUGCGGUGAUGAGUUGUGGAUAGGGGUGAAAGGCCAAACAAACUUGGCGAUAGCUGGUUCUCUCCGAAAUAGUUUUAGGACUAGCCUCAUUUGUUCAGUUCUGGAGGUAGAGCACUGAUUGGACUAGGGCCCUUCACCGGGUACCAAACCCAGAUAAACUUCGAAUAUCAGAACUUCAGAGAAUGGGAGUCAGACCAUGUGCUAUAAGGUUCAUGGUCAAGAGGGAAAGAGCCCAGACCACCAGCUAAGGUCCCAAAUAUAUGCUAAGUGGAAAAGGAAGUGAAAUAGCACAGACAACCAGGAGGUUGGCUUAGAAGCAGCCAUUCCUUUAAAGAGUGCGUAAUAGCUCACUGGUCGAGUUGUUUUGCGCCGACAAUGUAACGGGGCUAAGCAUAUAACCGAAGCUGUGGAUUUAUUCUGACUGAGGUCAGAAUGAGUGGUAGGAGAGCGUUGUAUAUACUGAUGAAGCUAGAUGGUGAUGUCUAGUGGAGGGAAUACAAGUGAAGAUGCCGGCAUGAGUAACGAAAAAACAGAUAAAAAAUCUGUUCGCCGAAAACUCGAGGAUUCCUGGGUAAAGGUAAUCUUCCCAGGGUUAGUCGGCUCCUAAGGUGAGGCUGAGAAGCGUAGCUGAUGGGAAACUGGUAUAUAUUCCAGUACCUGGUAAUAUAGUGAUGGGAUGACGCAGGAGGCGAUUUUAGACCCGGGCGACGGUUGACCCGGGAGAGGUGACGAGGUGUUGAAGUGUAUAGUUAAAUGCGUACGCGGAGCUGAGUUGCUGAAGGAGUGAAUCUACGGAGGAACGAAGCUAAAUAGUCAUACUGCCAAGAAAUAAUCUCUAAACUUAUAUAUUAUCAGACCGUACCGUAAACCGACACAGGUGAGAGGGUUGAAUAUACUAAGGCGCUCGAGAUAACUAUCGUUAAGGAACUCGGCAAAUUACAUCCGUAACUUCGGGAGAAGGAUGGCCUAACCUACUUGAUAGGAAGGUUGCAGAGAAUAGGUUCAAGCGACUGUUUACCAAAAACACAGGACUCUGCGAACGCGCAAGCGGAAGUAUAGGGUCUGACACCUGCCCGGUGCUGGAAGGUCAAGAGGAGAGGUUAGCGCAAGCGAAGCUUUGAAUUUAAGCCCCAGUAAACGGCGGCCGUAACUAUAACGGUCCUAAGGUAGCGAAAUUCCUUGUCGGGUAAGUUCCGACCUGCACGAAUGGUGUAACGACUUGAACACUGUCUCAACGAUAGACUCGGUGAAAUUGGAAUAGCGGUGAAAAUACCGUUUACCCAUGACUAGACGGAAAGACCCCGUGAACCUUUACUGUAGCUUGAUAUUGUUAUUUGGUAAAUGAUGUGUAGGAUAGGUGGGAGACUAUGAAGUCGGUACGCUAGUAUCGGUGGAGUCGCCGUUGAAAUACCACCCUUCGUUUAUUAAGUAUCUAACUAUUGACGUGAAACCGGCAAUAGGACAGUUUCAGGUGGGCGGUUUGACUGGGGCGGUCGCCUCCCAAAGAGUAACGGAGGCGUGCAAAGGUUCCUUCAGUAUGGUUGGAAAUCAUGCGUAGAGUGCAAUAGCAUAAGGGAGCUUGACUGUAAGACUGACAAGUCGAGCAGGUACGAAAGUAGGUUAUAGUGAUCCGGCGGUAGCGUGUGGAAGUGCCGUCGCUCAACGGAUAAAAGGUACUCCGGGGAUAACAGGCUGAUUUUGCCCAAGAGUUCAUAUCGACGGCAAAGUUUGGCACCUCGAUGUCGGCUCAUCGCAUCCUGGGGCUGGAGAAGGUCCCAAGGGUAUGGCUGUUCGCCAUUUAAAGCGGUACGUGAGCUGGGUUCAGAACGUCGCGAGACAGUUCGGUCCCUAUCUGUCAUGGGCGUUGGAUAUUUGAGGGGAGCUGCUCCUAGUACGAGAGGACCGGAGUGGACAGACCUCUGGUGUACCAGUUGUCUUGCCAAAGGCAUCGCUGGGUAACUAAGUUUGGAAAGGAUAACCGCUGAAAGCAUCUAAGUGGGAAGCCUGCCUCAAGAUGAGAUAUCCCUGAGACUUUAAGUCUCCUAAAGAACCGUUCAAGACCAGGACGUUGAUAGGCUGCAGAUAUAAGUACAGAGAUGUAUUCAGUCGAGCAGUACUAAUAGUUCGUGAGGCCUGGCCAUAUU